AACUUUCAACAACGGAUCUCUUGGCUCUUGCAUCGAUGAAGAACGCAGCGAAAUGCGAUAAGUAAUGUGAAUUGCAGAAUUCAGUGAAUCAUCGAAUCUUUGAACGCACCUUGCGCUCCUUGGUAUUCCGAGGAGCAUGCCUGUUUGAGUGUCAU
rnacentral:rRNA from 1 species